AGCGUACACGGUGGAUGCCCUGGCAGUCAGAGGCGAUGAAGGACGUGCUAAUCUGCGAUAAGCGUCGGUAAGGUGAUAUGAACCGUUAUAACCGGCGAUUUCCGAAUGGGGAAACCCAGUGUGAUUCGUCACACUAUCAUUAACUGAAUCCAUAGGUUAAUGAGGCGAACCGGGGGAACUGAAACAUCUAAGUACCCCGAGGAAAAGAAAUCAACCGAGAUUCCCCCAGUAGCGGCGAGCGAACGGGGAGCAGCCCAGAGCCUGAAUCAGUGUGUGUGUUAGUGGAAGCGUCUGGAAAGGCGCGCGAUACAGGGUGACAGCCCCGUACACAAAAAUGCACAUGCUGUGAGCUCGAUGAGUAGGGCGGGACACGUGGUAUCCUGUCUGAAUAUGGGGGGACCAUCCUCCAAGGCUAAAUACUCCUGACUGACCGAUAGUGAACCAGUACCGUGAGGGAAAGGCGAAAAGAACCCCGGCGAGGGGAGUGAAAAAGAACCUGAAACCGUGUACGUACAAGCAGUGGGAGCACGCUUAGGCGUGUGACUGCGUACCUUUUGUAUAAUGGGUCAGCGACUUAUAUUCUGUAGCAAGGUUAACCGAAUAGGGGAGCCGAAGGGAAACCGAGUCUUAACUGGGCGUUAAGUUGCAGGGUAUAGACCCGAAACCCGGUGAUCUAGCCAUGGGCAGGUUGAAGGUUGGGUAACACUAACUGGAGGACCGAACCGACUAAUGUUGAAAAAUUAGCGGAUGACUUGUGGCUGGGGGUGAAAGGCCAAUCAAACCGGGAGAUAGCUGGUUCUCCCCGAAAGCUAUUUAGGUAGCGCCUCGUGAAUUCAUCUCCGGGGGUAGAGCACUGUUUCGGCAAGGGGGUCAUCCCGACUUACCAACCCGAUGCAAACUGCGAAUACCGGAGAAUGUUAUCACGGGAGACACACGGCGGGUGCUAACGUCCGUCGUGAAGAGGGAAACAACCCAGACCGCCAGCUAAGGUCCCAAAGUCAUGGUUAAGUGGGAAACGAUGUGGGAAGGCCCAGACAGCCAGGAUGUUGGCUUAGAAGCAGCCAUCAUUUAAAGAAAGCGUAAUAGCUCACUGGUCGAGUCGGCCUGCGCGGAAGAUGUAACGGGGCUAAACCAUGCACCGAAGCUGCGGCAGCGACGCUUAUGCGUUGUUGGGUAGGGGAGCGUUCUGUAAGCCUGCGAAGGUGUGCUGUGAGGCAUGCUGGAGGUAUCAGAAGUGCGAAUGCUGACAUAAGUAACGAUAAAGCGGGUGAAAAGCCCGCUCGCCGGAAGACCAAGGGUUCCUGUCCAACGUUAAUCGGGGCAGGGUGAGUCGACCCCUAAGGCGAGGCCGAAAGGCGUAGUCGAUGGGAAACAGGUUAAUAUUCCUGUACUUGGUGUUACUGCGAAGGGGGGACGGAGAAGGCUAUGUUGGCCGGGCGACGGUUGUCCCGGUUUAAGCGUGUAGGCUGGUUUUCCAGGCAAAUCCGGAAAACUAAGGCUGAGGCGUGAUGACGAGGCACUACGGUGCUGAAGCAACAAAUGCCCUGCUUCCAGGAAAAGCCUCUAAGCAUCAGGUAACAUCAAAUCGUACCCCAAACCGACACAGGUGGUCAGGUAGAGAAUACCAAGGCGCUUGAGAGAACUCGGGUGAAGGAACUAGGCAAAAUGGUGCCGUAACUUCGGGAGAAGGCACGCUGAUAUGUAGGUGAAGUCCCUCGCGGAUGGAGCUGAAAUCAGUCGAAGAUACCAGCUGGCUGCAACUGUUUAUUAAAAACACAGCACUGUGCAAACACGAAAGUGGACGUAUACGGUGUGACGCCUGCCCGGUGCCGGAAGGUUAAUUGAUGGGGUUAGCGCAAGCGAAGCUCUUGAUCGAAGCCCCGGUAAACGGCGGCCGUAACUAUAACGGUCCUAAGGUAGCGAAAUUCCUUGUCGGGUAAGUUCCGACCUGCACGAAUGGCGUAAUGAUGGCCAGGCUGUCUCCACCCGAGACUCAGUGAAAUUGAACUCGCUGUGAAGAUGCAGUGUACCCGCGGCAAGACGGAAAGACCCCGUGAACCUUUACUAUAGCUUGACACUGAACAUUGAGCCUUGAUGUGUAGGAUAGGUGGGAGGCUUUGAAGUGUGGACGCCAGUCUGCAUGGAGCCGACCUUGAAAUACCACCCUUUAAUGUUUGAUGUUCUAACGUUGACCCGUAAUCCGGGUUGCGGACAGUGUCUGGUGGGUAGUUUGACUGGGGCGGUCUCCUCCUAAAGAGUAACGGAGGAGCACGAAGGUUGGCUAAUCCUGGUCGGACAUCAGGAGGUUAGUGCAAUGGCAUAAGCCAGCUUGACUGCGAGCGUGACGGCGCGAGCAGGUGCGAAAGCAGGUCAUAGUGAUCCGGUGGUUCUGAAUGGAAGGGCCAUCGCUCAACGGAUAAAAGGUACUCCGGGGAUAACAGGCUGAUACCGCCCAAGAGUUCAUAUCGACGGCGGUGUUUGGCACCUCGAUGUCGGCUCAUCACAUCCUGGGGCUGAAGUAGGUCCCAAGGGUAUGGCUGUUCGCCAUUUAAAGUGGUACGCGAGCUGGGUUUAGAACGUCGUGAGACAGUUCGGUCCCUAUCUGCCGUGGGCGCUGGAGAAUUGAGGGGGGCUGCUCCUAGUACGAGAGGACCGGAGUGGACGCAUCACUGGUGUUCGGGUUGUCAUGCCAAUGGCACUGCCCGGUAGCUAAAUGCGGAAGAGAUAAGUGCUGAAAGCAUCUAAGCACGAAACUUGCCCCGAGAUGAGUUCUCCCUGACUCCUUGA
rnacentral:rRNA from 1 species